UUGACCUCGGAUCAGGUAGGAUACCC
rnacentral:rRNA from 1 species